rnacentral:lncRNA from 1 species
GAGUGCGCAGGCGCCGUGGGCCUCGCCCUGCCCCGCGGCGGGAACGCGGCCGUGAGGGUGUGGGGUGUAGGUCCGCCAGGCCUGCAACGGCUGCCGAGGGUCGUGGGAUGCGCUCGCCGCGUCCCUGCUCAGGCGGAGGGAGCCCGGCCCGCCGCCAGGGUCUCGAGUCCGGGUCCAGGCAGGCGUGGAGGUGGCGGGAACGGCGCACCGCCCGGGUGGGCGUUGUUUUAAGGCCGCAGGGCUUGGGAGGCUUGUGUUGAGUUACAGGUCGGCCCGUAGAUCCCCGGAAGCGCCUUUGGUUGCCAGCAGGUGUCGGCGAGGGUCUUCAGUGGCCACCCUCCUGGUGGUGAUGUUUCCGUUUCUUUCCAACAGGAGUAUGACAACUUUUCAACUUGAGUGCACACACUGUCCCCGGAAUCCCGCGUUCCAGGGAGGAAGCGCCUUUGACAGCGCGCGCCGGUUCGUGGGGCCCGACGGCGUGGGCCUGUGGUUGCGGACCUGGCGGAGAUGCGCGUUCGCUUCGAUUGUAGGCCAUUCCUUUUAGGAGCUGAGAAAGGAUCCGUUUUUACAGCAUUCUCGACCUGUGAUUCUUGGUGGGGGAAACUAGUUAUGUGGAUAAAAAUACAGUUAGCAAAAUAAAAAUGCCAAUUUUACAUUUCCUUAAAUAUCUCAUUAAUAAUUAGAAAACUUUGGUCAUUGCAAGAAAUGCUUAGGCUAAACUUAGAAGGAAAGGAAUGGUGAAUUAGAGAACUUUAAAACAAGAUACAGCUGAAGAAAAGGAGAGCAAUUACGGGGUUUUGGAGACUUGGCUGCUGAUGGAAACGGUGCACUAUCUAAUUUUCAUGUAGAAUGAAACAGGGUCUGUAGCUAGCUAACAUCUAGAUAAGAUUCAGUAUCAUUUGACAGGAUUCUCAAAAACAUACAAUCACGAGAAAAUAUUAAAACCUGCCUGUAA